AACGAACGCUGGCGGCAGGCUUAACACAUGCAAGUCGAGCGCCCCGCAAGGGGAGCGGCCGACGGGUGAGUAACGCGUGGGAACGUACCUUUUGGUUCGGAACAACUCCGGGAAACUGGAGCUAAUACCGGAUAAGCCCUAACGGGGAAAGAUUUAUCGCCGAAAGAUCGGCCCGCGUCUGAUUAGCUAGUUGGUGAGGUAACGGCUCACCAAGGCGACGAUCAGUAGCUGGUCUGAGAGGAUGAUCAGCCACACUGGGACUGAGACACGGCCCAGACUCCUACGGGAGGCAGCAGUGGGGAAUAUUGGACAAUGGGCGCAAGCCUGAUCCAGCCACGCCGCGUGAGUGAUGAAGGCCUUAGGGUUGUAAAGCUCUUUUGUCCGGGAAGAUAAUGACUGUACCGGAAGAAUAAGCCCCGGCUAACUUCGUG
rnacentral:rRNA from 1 species